rnacentral:rRNA from 1 species
UACGUAGGGUGCGAGCGUUGUCCGGAAUUAUUGGGCGUAAAGAGCUCGUAGGCGGCCUGUCGCGUCGGAUGUGAAAGCCCGGGGCUUAACCCCGGGUCUGCAUUCGAUACGGGCAGGCUAGAGUGUGGUAGGGGAGAUCGGAAUUCCUGGUGUAGCGGUGAAAUGCGCAGAUAUCAGGAAGAACACCCGUGGCGAAGGCGGCUCUCUGGAACGCAACUGACGCUGAGACGCGAAAGCGUGGGGAGCAAACAGG